rnacentral:rRNA from 1 species
UACGUAGGGGGCAAGCGUUGUCCGGAAUUAUUGGGCGUAAAGAGCGCGUAGGCGGUCCGAUAAGUCGGCUGUGAAAGUCAAGGGCUCAACCCUUGGAAGCCGGCCGAUACUGUCGGACUAGAGUCCGGAAGAGGCGAGUGGAAUUCCCGGUGUAGCGGUGAAAUGCGCAGAUAUCGGGAGGAACACCAAUUGCGAAGGCAGCUCACUACACAAUCAUUGACGCUGAGGCACGAAAGCGUGGGGAUCAAACAGG